GGGCAUGCUUUUGAAUUAAUUCCGACUGAUCUGAAAUUCACUUACAUUUUGUUGUUGAUUGAUCUGCAGUUAUUUUUUAUUUGUAGAGAAGUUCCGCAUUUGAGAAGCCGGAGAAGAGUAUCUCACUAAGUACAGAUUCGAGUGACUUUGCCAACUUGCUGACAUGGGGUCUCGUUCAGAGCACAAGCUUCACCUGAAUAACCUUCUUUCAGUUAGUAAAACACUCAGCAAAGAUUGGUGAAGAUAAAGCUGCCGAUGUGGUGCUCACUGCUCACCUCGGAUGCAAUUCAAAAUUAUGUUGAUUUAUGUUCCUCUGUGUUACAGUUUAUUCUGG